AUACCUACGGGAGGCAGCAGUGAGGAAUAUUGGUCAAUGGCCGGAAGGCUGAACCAGCCAAGCCGCGUGAAGGACGAAGGUGCCAAGCAUUGUAAACUUCUUUUGUCAAGGGACAAAAUCAGGCUCGAGAGACUGACCGAGGGUACUUGAAGAAAAAGCAUCGGCUAACUCCGUGCCAGCAGCCGCGGUAAUACGGAGGAUGCGAGCGUUAUCCGGAUUUAUUGGGAUUAAAGGGUGCGUAGGCGGACUGUUAAGCCAGCGGUAAAAGACCGGGGCGCAACCCCGGCGAGCCGAUGGAACUGGCG
rnacentral:rRNA from 1 species